CCUACGGUGAGCAGCAGUAGGGAAUCUUCCACAAUGGACGAAAGUCUGAUGGAGCAACGCCGCGUGAGUGAAGAAGGGUUUCAGCUCGUAAAGCUCUGUUGGCAGUGAAGAAAGAUAGAGGUAGUAACUAGCCUUUAUUUGACGGUAAUUACUUAGAAAGUAACGGCUAACUACGUGCCAGCAGCCGCGGUAAUACGUAGGUGGCAAGCGUUGACCGGAUUUAUUGGGCGUAAAGCGAGUGCAGGCGGUUCAAUAAGUCUGAUGUGAAAGCCUUGGGCUCAACCGGAGAAUUGCAUCAGAAACUGUUGAACGUGAGGGCAGAAGAGGAGAGUGGAACUCCAUGUGUAGCAGUGGAAUGCGUAGAUAUAUGGAAGAACACCAGGGGCGAAGGCGGCUCUCUGGUCUGCAACUGACGCUGAGGCUCGAAAGCAUGGGUAGCGAACAGGAUUAGAUACCCGUGUAGUC
rnacentral:rRNA from 1 species